UACGUAGGGACCAAGCGUUGUUCGGAUUUACUGGGCGUAAAGGGCGCGUAGGCGGCGCGGUAAGUCACUUGUGAAAUCUCUGAGCUUAACUCAGAACGGCCAAGUGAUACUGCAGUGCUAGAGUGUGGAAGGGGCAAUCGGAAUUCUUGGUGUAGCGGUGAAAUGCGUAGAUAUCAGGAGGAACACCAAUAGCGAAGGCAGCUCGCUGGGACGUUACUGACACUAAGGCGCGAAAGCGUGGGGAGCGAACAGG
rnacentral:rRNA from 1 species